rnacentral:sRNA from 1 species
CAAUGGCAAUGUCCUAAAAGAGCUGAGUGACCCAGCUGGAGCCAUCAUUUACACCAGCCGCUUCCAGCUUGGGGACCCAACCCUGAAUGCCCUGGAAAUCUGGGGGGCUGAGUACCAGGAAUCAAAUGCACUUCUGCUGAGGUCCCACGACCGGGACUUCCUGACUCAUGUCAGUGCCCGUGAACGUUGCCCGGCUUGCUUCGUGGGCACCAUCACUGGAGACCGGAGAAUAGUGCUGGUGGACGAUCGAGAGUGUCCUGUCGGAAGAAAUGGCCAGGGGGAUGCCCCCCCGACACCCCCGCCAACCCCUGUGGACCUGGAGCUCGAAUGGGUGCUGGGCAAGAUGCCUCGGAAGGAGUUCUUCCUGCAGAGGAAGCCCCCUGUGCUGCAGCCUCUGGCCUUGCCCCCAGGGCUGAGCGUGCGCCAGGCCCUGGAGAGGGUUCUGAGGCUGCCUGCCGUGGCCAGCAAGCGCUACCUCACCAAUAAGGUCCUCCCUGCACCCUUCCUCUGCCCCCUGCCUCCUUCC